UACGUAGGGCGCAAGCGUUGUCCGGGAAUUAUUGGGCGUAAAGAGCUCGUAGGCGGCUUGUCACGUCGGGUGUGAAAGCCCGGGGCUUAACCCCGGGUCUGCAUUCGAUACGGGCUGGCGUAGAGUGUGGUAGGGGAGAUCGGAAUUCCUGGUGUAGCGGUGAAAUGCGCAGAUAUCAGGAGGAACACCGGUGGCGAAGGCGGAUCUCUGGGCCAUUACUGACGCUGAGGAGCGAAAGCCAGGGGAGCGAACGGG
rnacentral:rRNA from 1 species